GGNNUUANGNNGCGGAGGAUCACNUCUAUACCUUACAGGAGCCUUGCUUGCGCUCUGCUCACCCAUGAUCGUCUGAUACAAAGGGAAACCCAGGGGGGUCCGCCCGCCGAACGGACACCCCUCCUUAUUUGCAGGUCCAAUCAACCUCCGAAAAAACUUAAUAGUUACAAGUUUCAACAACGGAUCGGACGGUCCUGGCAUCUUUGAACAAGAAAGCGAAAUGCCUUAAGUAGUGUGAAUUGCCUAAUUCAUUGAAUUGAGAAUCUUUGAACGCCCAUUGCGCCCCUUGGUAUUCCAUGGGGCAUGCCUGUUCGAGCGUCAUUUGUACCUUCAAGCUCUGCUUGGAGUUGGGUGUUUGUCUCUCCUAAGCUCGCAAACUCGCUUAAAAACAAUUGGCAGCCGGCGUAUUGAUUUCGGAGCGCAGUACAUCUCGCGCUUUGCCCUCAGAACGACGACAUCCAAAAGUACAUUUUUACACUCUUGACCUCGGAUCAGGUAGGGAUACCCGCUGAACUUAAGCAUAUCAUUAAGCGGAGGAAAAAAAACCAACCAGGUUAAUGAGGCGAACCGGGGGAACUGAAACAUCUAAGUACCCCGAGGAAAAGAAACCAACCAUCAACUCAUUAUCAUUAACUGAAUCCUUAGGUUAAUGAGGGGAACCGGGGGAACUGAUACAUCUNCGUACCCCAAGAAAACAAAACCAACCA
rnacentral:rRNA from 1 species